UACGUAGGGGGCAAGCGUUGUCCGGAUUUAUUGGGCGUAAAGAGCUCGUAGGCGGUUCCGUAAGUCGAGUGUGAAAAAUCUGGGCUCAACCCAGUGGAGCACUCGAUACUGCGGUGACUGGAGUACGGUAGAGGAGUGUGGAAUUCCUGGUGUAGCGGUGAAAUGCGCAGAUAUCAGGAGGAACACCAAUAGCGAAGGCAGCUCGCUGGGACGGUAUUGACGCUAAGGCGCGAAAGCGUGGGAGCAACAGG
rnacentral:rRNA from 1 species